UGGAAGCCUUGGGGCACAGCCCAGGGAGGACAUAAGGGAAAGGGGUCCAUCCAUGACCUUGAAAUGAUACACCAGGCCCCUCGCCCUCCCCUAAGAGUACCAAGCUCUGCUUUGCUUUUGGUGUGUUGCUGUGCCACUCAUGAGGGCUGCAGUCUCUCACGUUAUCCAUGCUGGUCAGCCUGUGUGUGCUGCCAUUAUUGGACAAUAAACUCAGGAGGUGGAACAAGUCUGGAGGCUGCAGGUUCAAGACCUAGGUUGGAGAAGGGUGAGAAGACGGCAUGUGGUGAGAGCCAGUUUCACAGUCUAGAUUUGUAGUGUCAGGAAUCCUCAUUUGCUCAAACCAUAGAUCAUACAAGGUUGCUCACUGCAAAGAAUUACCAGAAAAAUACUAAUAUCCUUUCUGAGAACGUGACACAUGUUAAGUGUUUGAGAAAACCAUGAUGUGUCUAGUCAGUCUCAGGUAUCCCGACCUUUGCAAACCAGAUGCCUGGCAUGCACGGAUAUUCCAGCCUCGGAGUUGAGGCACGGAGAAGAAUGAGGUAUUACAGCUCCAGGAAGAACUGAUGCUGCUGCCUCCCUUGAAGCUGGGUGUGGCCAUGUCCACUUUAAACCAAUGAUAUACAAGCUAUGCUACAUGGAUCUUCUGAGAAAUCUCCUUCUUCCUUUCUUCAGGCUAGAAUAUACAUGCACGUUGCAUACAAUACACAAUAUACAUGCUUCAAGAUACGAUAGCUAGAGACUGUCUUCUCUUUUGCACAGGCAAUCAGUCAAGAAGAAUCAAUGAAUUUACCUUAGGCUCAUAUAAAUAAAACCUCAGUUUCUCUUACAGACUCCAACCUUCACUUAAUACUUACCACAGAACUCCUGUUUUGUUCAUUUGUACAUCACCUUCCCAAGACAGGAAAUUUUUUAAAUUAAUAUUUUCU
ensembl:lncRNA AC111319.1